UACGUAGGGGGCGAGCGUUGCCCGGAUUCAUUGGGCGUAAAGGGCGCGUAGGCGGCCCCGUGCGUCCCGUGUGAAAGCGCGCGGCUCAACCGAGCACGGGCACGGGAAACGACGGGGCUAGAGCACGGCAGAGGGCAGUGGAAUUCCCGGUGUAGUGGUGGAAUGCGUAGAGAUCGGGAGGAACACCCGUGGCGAAGGCGGCUGCCUGGACCGAUGCUGACGCUGAGGCGCGAAAGCGUGGGGAGCGAUCCGG
rnacentral:rRNA from 1 species